AUACUUACCUGGCAGGGGAGAUACCAUGAUCAAAAAGGUGGUUUUCCCAGGGUGAGGCUCAUCCAUUAUGCUCAGGUGUGGUGAGCCCUACUAUUUCCCCAAAAUGUGGGAAACUCGACUGCAUCAUUUGUCUAAAU
rnacentral:snRNA from 1 species